rnacentral:rRNA from 1 species
UACGUAGGGGGCAAGCGUUGUCCGGAAUUAUUGGGCGUAAAGAGCGCGUAGGCGGUCCGAUAAGUCGGCUGUGAAAGUCAGGGGCUCAACCCUUGGAAGCCGGCCGAUACUGUCGGACUAGAGUCCGGAAGAGGCGAGUGGAAUUCCCGGUGUAGCGGUGAAAUGCGCAGAUAUCGGGAGGAACACCAAUGGCGAAGGCAGCUCGCUGGGACGGUACUGACGCUGAGGCGCGAAAGCGUGGGUAGCAAACGGG